GACGAACGCUGGCGGCGUGCUUAACACAUGCAAGUCGAGCGGUAAGGCCCUUUCGGGGGUACGACGAGCGGCGAACGGGUGAGUAACACGUGGGUGACCUGCCCUUACGCUCUGGGAUAAGCCUGGGAAACUGGGUCUAAUACCGGAUAUGACUCCAUAACGCAUGUUGUGGGGUGGAAAGCCUUGUGCGGCUAGGGAUGGGCCCGCGGCCUAUCAGCUUGUUGGUGGGGUGAUGGCCUACCAAGGCGACGACGGGUAGCCGGCCUGAGAGGGCGACCGGCCACACUGGGACUGAGACACGGCCCAGACUCCUACGGGAGGCAGCAGUGGGGAAUCUUGCGCAAUGGGCGAAAGCCUGACGCAGCGACGCCGCGUGGGGA
rnacentral:rRNA from 1 species